ensembl:lncRNA
UAUGCAAGGUACCAAGCUGAGUGUUUUAUCUAGAUUAUUUUAUUUAAUUCUUACUACAACCCUAUGAGAUAGGCUAUUAUUUACCCCCAUUUUACAGAAGAGGGAAACUGAGGCACAGAGCGAUUAAGUAACGUGCCCAGGGCCACACAGUCAGAAUUCAAGUCACAAGUGCUGGCAGGCUGAUGCCAGAGCACACCCUUGGUCUCAGUCACUCUAGUGCAUUGUCUUCCCUAUAAGGUUCUGCCUCCUCUUCUAACUUGUAGAGUCCCCCUGACUUUGAUGUUACCUCACCUCAGGAUGUACUGAGCUGGAUGGCAAGGCUUAUGUUCCCUGUAUAGCUCAAAAGACACACUUCCUGUUCUGAAGGUUGAUUCAUGAAUGAAUCCACAUUUUCAUUUCCCCCUCCCCUUUCACGGGGGAAUGACUUACUCAGAGCAUGGCUGAGGAAAGCUGGCAAUAGCCUUUCCAGGCCUCUCUCUCCACUGCUGAUUUUGAAACCAUCAAGGAAAGUGCUGCAGCCCACGGCCAUUUUGCCAUUUGCUGAGAGAAAAGCCCCUGAGUUUCCAGAUUUUGGUGACCUCAGAGUAAAAGGGGCUAGUCCGGAGAAGGAAGUUUGGUUUUGA